rnacentral:tRNA from 1 species
GGGCCUUUAGCUCAGUUGGUUAGAGCAACCGGCUCAUAACCGGUAAGUCUGGGGUUCGAGUCCCUGAAGGCCCACCA